rnacentral:ncRNA from 1 species
GUUAAAAGGGGUGCCUCCUUUUUGGGAGUGCUGAGAACAAACCCAAUAACCUGAUCCGGGUAAUGCCGGCGUAGGGAAAAGGCUUAAU